rnacentral:lncRNA from 1 species
GGAUGGUCACGCGCUCAGCAGGCCAGCCCACGUUUCCGGGCCGAGCGGCUGGGAAAGCCCCAGUGCCAGGCCCUCCCCGCCCAGUCUCCCUUCCCCCUCUCAGGGCUGGCCUGGCUGGACCACACCUGGGCUGUGGCCACCUGCGCCCCUUUUCUCAGCCUUUUCCUGCUCGGGUCUCCUGGGACACUCCAGCACCCCAAGACAUGAGUGAGGGCCAGCAGACUCCCCCUGCAAAGAGGGCCCCGGUACGGAAGCCCUCGGAGGCAUCAGCCCUUCAUCCUGGGGCAGAGGUGGUUCCUGUGCUUCAUUUGGGGUGUGCGUACGUGAAGACACAGCCAGCACCCCUGGGGCAGGUGAGACCAGGACGGGGAAGGCCACAGGGCAGGCAGGAGUGAGCGCCCGUUGGGUGCCCCGAGCAGGCCUGCGUGCGCUUAAGAACCAGCCUGGGAUCCCUUGAAUACAUGCGUGCCGAAGUCCUAAAAGCUAGUGGGAGCAGCUGAACCUUUCCUGACAUCGCAGAAGGCAGCAGGAGGAGCCCGCACACCGAGGGGCUAAGAUCCAAA